UGAACAUGAUGUUUAACGCCGAAGCUGCACAUAUUAAGAACCAGAGACCAUAAGUGAACUAUUCCAAACCAUCAUAAUCAUCUUGAUUUUUUGUCGGUUACAUGAAGCAGAUCCAAGAUUUGAGAUCAUUUGGGUUUUAUGAACUAGGUGUUAAUGAAAUGCUUGAGAAUUAACAACAACAAAGAAAAAACCCAGAAAAGAGAACA